AUGAACGCUGGCGGCGUGCCUAAUACAUGCAAGUCGAGCGAACAGACGAGGAGCUUGCUCCUCUGACGUUAGCGGCGGACGGGUGAGUAACACGCGGAUAACCUACCUAUAAGACUGGGAUAACUUCGGGAAACCGGAGCUAAUACCGGAUAAUAUAUUGAACCGCAUGGUUCAAUAGUGAAAGACGGUUUUGCUGUCACUUAUAGAUGGAUCCGCGCCGCAUUAGCUAGUUGGUAAGGUAACGGCUUACCAAGGCAACGAUGCGUAGCCGACCUGAGAGGGUGAUCGGCCACACUGGAACUGAGACACGGUCCAGACUCCUACGGGAGGCAGCAGUAGGGAAUCUUCCGCAAUGGGCGAAAGCUUGACGGAGCAACGCCGCGUGAGUGAUGAAGGUCUUCGGAUCGUAAAACUCUGUUAUUAGGGAAGAACAAAUGUGUAAGUAACUAUGCACGUCUUGACGGUACCUAAUCAGAAAGCCACGGCUAACUACGUG
rnacentral:rRNA from 1 species